rnacentral:rRNA from 1 species
UUUGAUCCUGGCUCAGAACGAACGCUGGCGGCAGGCCUAACACAUGCAAGUCGAGCGCGCCCUUCGGGGUGAGCGGCGGACGGGUUAGUAACGCGUGGGAAUAUGCCCAGAUCUACGGAAUAGCCUCGGGAAACUGAGAGUAAUACCGUAUACGCCCUUCGGGGGAAAGAUUUAUCGGAUUUGGAUUAGCCCGCGUUGGAUUAGGUAGUUGGUGGGGUAAUGGCCUACCAAGCCUACGAUCCAUAGCUGGUUUGAGAGGAUGAUCAGCAACACUGGGACUGAGACACGGCCCAGACUCCUACGGGAGGCAGCAGUGGGGAAUCUUAGACAAUGGGGGAAACCCUGAUCUAGCCAUGCCGUGUGAGUGACGAAGGCCCUAGGGUCGUAAAGCUCUUUCGCCAGGGAAGAUAAUGACGGUACCUGGUAAAGAAGUCCCGGCUAACUCCGUGCCAGCAGCCGCGGUAAUAAGGG